rnacentral:rRNA from 1 species
AAAGGGCACUCUAAUGAGACUGCCGGUUGACAAACCCGGAGGAAGUGGGGAUGACGUCAAGUCCUCAUGGCCCUUAUGGGUAGGGCUUCACACGUCAUACAAUGGUCGGGACAGAGGGUCGCCAACCCGCGAGGGGGAGCCAAUCCCAGAAACCCGAUCGUAGUCCGGAUUGCAGUCUGCAACUCGACUGCAUGAAGUCGGAAUCGCUAGUAAUCGCGGAUCAGCAUGCCGCGGUGAAUACGUUCCCGGGCCUU